AAGUGAGGAGUGUGGUUGGAAAAGAUGCACAACCAACAGGAAUGACCACAGCCUUGACAAGAAUGUCAAGCAAAGCAGAUUCAAGAACUUGGGGGAGC